CAACUUUCAACAACGGAUCUCUUGGCUCUCGCAUCGAUGAAGAACGCAGCGAAAUGCGAUAAGUAAUGUGAAUUGCAGAAUUCAGUGAAUCAUCGAAUCUUUGAACGCACCUUGCGCUCCUUGGUAUUCCGAGGAGCAUGCCUGUUUGAGUAUCAUGA
rnacentral:rRNA from 3 species